AGCGAACGCUGGCGGCAGGCCUAACACAUGCAAGUCGAACGAAGUCUUCGGACUUAGUGGCGAACGGGUGAGUAACACGUGGGAACGUGCCUUUAGGUUCGGAAUAACUCAGGGAAACUUGUGCUAAUACCGAAUGUGCCCUUCGGGGGAAAGAUUUAUCGCCUUUAGAGCGGCCCGCGUCUGAUUAGCUAGUUGGUGAGGUAAAGGCUCACCAAGGCGACGAUCAGUAGCUGGUCUGAGAGGAUGAUCAGCCACAUUGGGACUGAGACACGGCCCAAACUCCUACGGGAGGCAGCAGUGGGGAAUCUUGCGCAAUGGGCGAAAGCCUGACGCAGCCAUGCCGCGUGAAUGAUGAAGGUCUUAGGAUUGUAAAAUUCUUUCACCGGGGACGAUAAUGACGGUACCCGGAGAAGAAGCCCCGGCUAACUUCGUGCCAGCAGCCGCUGUAACAC
rnacentral:rRNA from 1 species